rnacentral:rRNA from 1 species
AUUGAACGCUGGCGGCAGGCCUAACACAUGCAAGUCGAGCGGAUGAAGGUAGCUUGCUACCUGAUUCAGCGGCGGACGGGUGAGUAAUGCCUAGGAAUCUGCCUGGUAGUGGGGGACAACGUUUCGAAAGGAACGCUAAUACCGCAUACGUCCUACGGGAGAAAGUGGGGGAUCUUCGGACCUCACGCUAUCAGAUGAGCCUAGGUACGAUUAGCUAGUUGGUGAGGUAAAGGCUCACCAAGGCGACGAUCGUUAACUGGUCUGAGAGGAUGAGCAGUCACACUGGAACUGAGACACGGUCCAGACUCAUACGGGAGGCAGCAGUGGGGAGUAUUGGACAAUGGGCGAAAGCCUGAUCCAGCCAUGCCGCGUGUGUGAAGAAGGUCUUCGGAUUGUAAAGCACUUUAAGUUGGGAGGAAGGGCAGUAAGUUAAUACCUUGCUGUUUUGACGUUACCGACAGAAUAAGCACCGGCUAACUUCGUGCCAGCAGCCGCGGUAAUAC